CAUUAGAUACCCCACUAUGCCUGGCCCUAAAUCUUGAUGUUUCCCAUACAAAAACAUCCGCCCGAGAACUACGAGCACAAACGCUUAAAACUCUAAGGACUUGGCGGUGCCCUAAACCCACCUAGAGGAGCCUGUUCUAGU
rnacentral:rRNA from 1 species